UACAGAGGUCUCAAGCGUUGUUCGGAUUCAUUGGGCGUAAAGGGUGCGUAGGCGGCGAGGCAAGUCGGAUGUGAAAUCCCGGGGCUCAACCCCGGAACUGCAUUCGAUACUGCCUUGCUAGAGUACUGGAGAGGAGAGUGGAAUUUACGGUGUAGCAGUGAAAUGCGUAGAUAUCGUAAGGAAGACCAGUGGCGAAGGCGGAUCUCUGGACAGUUACUGACGCUGAGGCACGAAGGCCAGGGGAGCAAACGGG
rnacentral:rRNA from 1 species